rnacentral:rRNA from 1 species
UACAGAGGUCUCAAGCGUUGUUCGGAUUCAUUGGGCGUAAAGGGUGCGUAGGCGGCGCGGUAAGUCGGGUGUGAAAUCUCGGGGCUUAACUCCGAAACUGCAUUCGAUACUGCCGUGCUUGAGGACUGGAGAGGAGACUGGAAUUUACGGUGUAGCGGUGAAAUGCGUAGAUAUCGAGAGGAACACCUGCGGCGAAGGCGGCUCUCUGGGUCGUACCUGACGCUGAGGCGCGAAAGCGUGGGGAGCGAACGGG